UUGACCUCGAAUCAGGUAGGAAUACCCGCUGAACUUAAGCAUAUCAAUAAGCGGAGGAAAAGAAACCAACCGGGAUUACCUCAGUAACGGCGAGUGAAGCGGUAACAGCUCAAAUUUGAAAUCUGGCUCCYUCGGAGUCCGAGUUGUAAUUUGUAGAAGAUGCUUUGGGUUGUGGGUUCGGCCUAAGUUCCUUGGAACAGGACGUCAUAGAGGGUGAGAAUCCCGUACGUGGCCGAGGCCUGCGCCUAUGUAAAGCUCUUUCGACGAGUCGAGUUGUUUGGGAAUGCAGCUCAAAAUGGGUGGUAAAUUUCAUCUAAAGCUAAAUAUGGGCCAGAGACCGAUAGCGCACAAGUAGAGUGAUCGAAAGAUGAAAAGCACUUUGGAAAGAGAGUUAAACAGUACGUGAAAUUGUUGAAAGGGAAGCGCUUGCAACCAGACUUGGGCGCUGCCGAUCACCCUGAGUUUUCUCAGGUGCACUCGACAGCGCACAGGCCAGCAUCGGUUCGGGUGGCUGGAUAAAGGCCGUAGGAACGUAGCUCCUCUCGGGGAGUGUUAUAGCCUACGGUGCCAUGCAGCCCAGCCGGACCGAGGACCGCGCCUUCGGGCUAGGAUGCUGGCGUAAUGGUUGUAAGCGACCCGUCUUGAAACACGGACCAAGGAGUCUAACAUCUAUGCGAGUGUUUGGGCGUUAAACCCAUACGCGGAAUGAAAGUGAACGUAGGUGAGAACCCCUUUGGGGUGCAUCAUCGA
rnacentral:rRNA from 1 species